AGUGAACGCUGGCGGUAGGCCUAACACAUGCAAGUCGAACGGCAGCACAGUAAGAGCUUGCUCUUACGGGUGGCGAGUGGCGGACGGGUGAGGAAUACAUCGGAAUCUACUUUUUGGGGGGGGUAAAGGAGGGGAAAUUACGCUUAUUACGGAAUCGGACUAAGGGUGAAAGGCAGGGAUCCUCGGAACUUGCCGGGAUGGAUGAGCCGAUGUCGGGUUAGCUAGUUGGCGGGGUAAAGGCCCACCAAGGCGACGAUCCGUAGCUGGUCUGAGAGGAUGAUCAGCCACACUGGAACUGAGACACGGUCCAGACUCCUACGGGAGGCAGCAGUGGGGAAUAUUGGACAAUGGGCGCAAGCCUGAUCCAGCCAUACCGCGUGGGUGAAGAAGGCCUUCGGGUUGUAAAGCCCUUUUGUUGGGAAAGAAAAGCAGCAGGUUAAUACCCCGCUGUUCUGACGGUACCCAAAGAAUAAGCACCGGCUAACUUCGU
rnacentral:rRNA from 1 species